CCAGUUCGAAAGGCAGGCGACCACCAUUAAUACAAGAUGUUACAGGAUAUCUAUAACUAGAGAAAAAUAACCAAGCAGAAUGUAUAAUGAAGACGCAGC